rnacentral:tRNA from 1 species
GGCUCCGUAGCUCAGCGGUUAGAGCGCACGACUCAUAAUCGUGAGGUCGGUGGUUCGAAUCCACCCGGAGCUA